rnacentral:rRNA from 1 species
GAUCCUGGCUCAGGAUGAACGCUGGCGGCGUGCCUAACACAUGCAAGUCGAGCGAAGCACUUUGCUUAGAUUCUUCGGAUGAAGAGGAUUGUGACUGAGCGGCGGACGGGUGAGUAACGCGUGGGUAACCCUGCCUCAUACAGGGGGAUAAACAGUUAGAAAUGACUGCUAAUACCGCAUAAGACCACAGCACCGCAUGGUGCGGGGGUAAAAACUCCGGUGGUAUGGAGAUGGACCCGCG